rnacentral:rRNA from 1 species
GACGAACGCUGGCGGCGUGCCUAAUACAUGCAAGUAGAACGCACAGUUUAUACCGUAGCUUGCUCCACCAUAGACUGUGAGUUGCGAACGGGUGAGUAACGCGUAGGUAACCUGCCUGGUAGCGGGGGGUAACUAUUGGAAACGAUAGCUAAUACCGCAUAAUAUUGAUUAUUGCAUGAUAAUUGAUUGAAAGAUGCUAUUGCAUCACUACCAGAUGGACCUGCGUUGUAUUAGCUAGUAGGUGAGGUAACGGCUCACCUAGGCGACGAUACAUAGCCGACCUGAGAGGGUGAUCGGCCACACUGGGACUGAGACACGGCCCAGACUCCUACGGGAGGCAGCAGUAGGGAAUCUUCGGCAAUGGACGAAAGUCUGACCGAGCAACGCCGCGUGAGUGAAGAAGGUUUUCGGAUCGUAAAGCUCUGUUGUAAGAGAAGAACGGGUGUGAGAGUGGAAAGUUCACACUGUGACGGUAUCUUACCAGAAAGGGACGGCUAACUACGUG